GGUGAACCUGCGGAAGGAUCAGUA
rnacentral:ncRNA from 3 species